rnacentral:lncRNA from 1 species
UUUUUUUUUUUUUUUUUCCUUUUCUGUUGGUGCUUGUGUUACUUAUCUGUAUUGGCUGUGUUGCUUUUCUUGAUCUUUGACACUGUUUAUGUAUAAAUGUAUUGUAUGUAUGUUUUCAUAAUAUUUUAAAAAUAAAUAAAAUGAUUAUAUUAAUUAUGUAUAAUUUUAUUUUUUUUUAUUUACAAGCGGGGUUGAGGGACUCUUACCCCUUUUAAUUUUAAAUUACAUGUGGAAACUUAUAUCAACAAUUAACGUCCCACAACCUCUUCACUUUGUAAGGGAUGGCUCAAUAAGGUGCUACUAUUGAGCCACCGACAUUUUUAUAAAAAUAAUUUGGUAAACAAGUGUUUAUUGAGAUCAGUAACUCGGUAACAUUGACGGGAUUUGAACCUCAAACCUCGUAUCACGUAUACUUCAACAGUUGUGAGGUUUUACCAGUUGAGUCAACUGACACCUGCAUAAAUGUAUUGUAUAUAUAUAAUAAUAAUUACGUAUACUUCAACAAGUAUGUUACAAUAAUAUUCAAUCAUAACAUAAGAAGUACUCAGUCACAUAUGAAUUAUAUAUAUAUAUAUAUAUAUAUUAUAUGAUAUGAUGCAACAUGAUUAACUUAACCAUAUAUUUAUCUCCACCAAUGUGGUAGAAAGAUAGAAACAGUCAACAACAGAGGAGUAACCAUAUUUGUCUCCACGUACAAGAACACAAACCCUCGUCCAACAUAUAACCUUCAGCUAGCUUUUGAACGAAUUUCAGAUGGAUUAGGGUGGAGUUUUAAACAUAUAUCUGCCAACAUUUUAAAUCUAGAAUUGAAGAGAUUGUAUGUAUCAUCGUGUUGUUGAAAACCUGCCAGUUCUAAGUCGGCCGAAAUCAAAAAUCUAAAACAAAACCCUUUCUUUACACUACUACAAGACCUGGACUUUAAUUUGUAAGGAACUAUACAGAGGAGGAUUUGGUGGAGCUAAGCAUCUCAUAAAAAGUUAUGGUAUAUGCAUAAUUUUUGCAAGUUGUGCUUACCAGUUACCACUAUAUUGAUGGAAAAUUGGCAACCUCUGUCUGCUUUUGUUUUG